rnacentral:rRNA from 1 species
UAACGAGUUGGAAACGACUGCUAAUACCGCAUAUGACACCAUUAUGGCAUCGAGAAGGUGUUAAAAGGUCCGUUUGGAUCGCUAAAAGAUGAGGAUGCGGCGUAUUAGCUAGUAGGUAGGGUAAUGGCUUACCUAGGCGAUGAUACGUAGCCGAACUGAGAGGUUGAUCGGCCACAUUGGGACUGAGAUACGGCCCAG